CAGGUGUAUGUAAUUAUAUGUAAAUUUGGCCACACCCACAUUUGAGUUGUGAGUGGACUGGAGGCAUGCUGCCCAAGAUGGCUGACUUUGAAGACUAUUUUCUGUUCAUAUUGGAUAACUACUUCAGGAUUUAUGUUUGGCCCUGUAGCAUAACGGAGAAAUUGGAGUUACACCAGCUGUGGAUAAAUGGACUUCUAUGCUUCCUGUUGGACGUUGGUCGAGUGAAGGCAUCAGACCUUCUCCUUCUGUGUUCCCCUUCCGGCGGACGUCGCAGUUGUCAUCCUGAAGAAAAUAAGUUAUGAGAAGAGGCAGCAGGACGGGGGCCCCUGUGAACGCCCCCAGCGAGACCCCAGCCAACGCACGGGCAAAUCUAAUCCAUCCUGCGUCUCUCUGACAGAAUACGGUUCACCGUCUGUCACGUCAAACCCGCCGUCCACUCGUGCUUCUGCCUGAUGGCUCCUAAAGUGAUGUCGGCGUCUCCCUUUGUUUGGUCUCGGGCCGACGUGAGGAGAGAGACUGCGUGAGAGAGGGGGGGACGGACUGCGUG
ensembl:lncRNA